CUGACUUUGGAGGAACUAGAUUUUUGCCUACUGGAAGAAUGCAGUGAAACUGCCAAUAUUUCUAGCUGGAAUUAUAAAUUUAAUAUUCAACUUUAGUGUUACUAAUUUCUUACUAAAUAGUACCUCAAAGUAGAAGAAAAAUGUAUGGAAGUGCAAGAACAAUCAGCAACUUAGAAGGAAGUCCCUCCAGGUCUCCUCGUUUGCCAAGAUCUCCUCGCCUGGGCCAUAGGCGAACAAAUAGCGGAGGAGGAGGAGGAACAGGUAAGACGUUAUCAAUGGAGAACAUCCAGUCCCUUAAUGCAGCCUAUGCAACAUCUGGACCAAUGUAUUUGAGUGACCAUGAAGGUGUAGCUUCUACUACUUUCCCAAAGGGCACAAUGACUCUUGGAAGGGCUACGAAUCGAGCUGUGUAUGGUGGUCGAGUCACAGCUAUGGGGAGCAGUCCUAAUAUUGCUUCAGCUGGACUUUCACACACAGAUGUCCUUUCUUAUACUGAUCAGCAUGGAGGUCUGACCACAUCUUCACACCAUCACCACCAUCAGGUUCCUUCUAUGCUAAGACAGGUUAGAGAUAGUACCAUGUUAGACCUGCAGGCUCAGCUUAAGGAGCUACAGAGGGAGAAUGAUCUUCUCAGAAAAGAACUAGACAUUAAGGACAGCAAGCUGGGAUCCUCCAUGAAUAGCAUCAAAACUUUCUGGAGUCCUGAGCUAAAGAAAGAAAGAGUAUUGAGGAAAGAAGAAGCAGCCAGAAUGUCAGUUCUUAAAGAACAAAUGAGAGUUUCCCAUGAAGAAAAUCAGGUAAGUAAUUCUGAAAGUUUUUCUGUUGAUUUACAACAAAGUACAGAAUAUUUUGCUUAUGGGACUGUAUCUGAUGAUGGAACAAGUUUGACAUUUACAGGAGUUGUGUAUCUUGAUCUAUCUGCCUCUGGCUGCUAA